UACGAGUGCCCCAAGCGUUAUCCGGAAUCAUUGGGCGUAAAGGGUGUGUAGGUUGUUUUAUUAGUCCCCCGUUAAAUCCAGCUGCUUAACAGAUGGGCUGCGGAGGAUACUAUAAGACUAGGAGGCAGGAGAGGCAAGCGGUACUCAGUGGGUAGGGGUAAAAUCCGUUGAUCCAUUGAAGACCACCAGUGGCGAAGGCGGCUUGCCAGAAUGCGCUCGACGGUGAGGGAUGAAAGCUGGGGGAGCAAACCGG
rnacentral:rRNA from 1 species